ACUAAGCAGAGCGAGUGUCGGGCUUGUAAGACACUGAAGACACUGCAGAGCAAGGUGCUUAUUCCAGAGGCGUUACAAAACAUGGAGAUUAAAGACCAGGGAGCCCAAAUGGAGCCGCUGCUGCCUACGGAUAAUCUUGAGACCUUUGGAAUGAUAAAACUGAUUGUAAACUUGCCCAGUAAUGAUUGGUCAUCUUCCUUACAAAGGUUGCCUUCGUUUAUACUAUUUUACAUGCAUUUCAUUAUACAUCAUAAAGGUUUUAAAGAGAAAUGAUGAAGAAGCAGUUGUGGAUAGAGGUGGAACUCGUUCUAUUCUCAAAACACACUUUGAGAAAGAAGAUUUAGAAGGUCAUCGAACACUGUUUAUUGGAGUACAUGUGCCCUUGGGAGGAAGAAAAAGCCAUCGACGUCACAGGCAUCGUGGUCAUAAACACAGAAAGAGAGACAGAGAAAGAGAUUCAGGAUUAGAGGAUGGAAGGGAGUCACCUUCUUUUGACACCCCAUCACAGAGGGUACAGUUUAUUCUUGGAACCGAGGAUGAUGAUGAGGAACACAUUCCUCAUGACCUUUUCACAGAACUGGA
rnacentral:sRNA from 1 species